GUAAUUUUCUGGGUGGGUCCCAUCAUUCAACUUAACCUUCAGCGAUGGCGGCCUCUCUCUCUAGCCCCACCUCUCACUCACUCGCCGCUUCGCAGUCGCAAAUAUAUUUUUCUCAUUUGCCUCCAUUGUUGAAUCUUCCUCUAUUUUCAGGGAUCAGACCUCUUAUUUUACACUUAUUUUCAUUUUUGUUGCUCAUUUUAUGGCCUCUUCCCAUUCAACCCACUGCAUUACCCUGCAAAAACCCCGGAGAUUAUCUCCCUCCCUACUCUGUCCCAGCCACCGCUUCGUUCUCGACACUGGUAAAGGAACUGUUCGAUUCCGUCCUCAAUCUAGGCUUCCCAGACCCUUGGCGUAUAACCAGGGAACGAACAGUAAUUCGGUGAACUGCAAUGUGUUUAUUGAGGCAGAGUCGGGUGCUAGUAUCGAGGAAGAGACUUAUAAUUCCGUCGAGGAUAGGCAAUUUGUACGGUGGUUUCGCGAGGCCUGGCCAUACCUGUGGGCUCAUAGGAGCAGUACUUUUGUAGUCAUUAUUUCUGGUGAUAUUAUCUCUAGUCCUUUCUUGGAUCCCAUUUUGAAGGAUAUAGCAUUCCUUCAUCACCUGGGAAUCAGGUUUGUUCUUGUCCCGGGCACCCAUGUUCAAAUUGAUAAUCUUUUGGCCCAGAGAGGUAACUGAAAGCCUUAAUUAUUUUUUUUAAAUUUUAUUUCUUUGAAAUUCAUUUUACGUAAUCUGUUUUGUUGCAGUUUAUGGUCUCAACAUCCCUCUCCUCCUCUUCCCUAUAUAGUUACGGAUUCUUGAUUUACACAAUCGAAGAGUUUGGUAUUGGUUCUUUUUGUUUAAGUAUUUGUUGUUGAUUGUUGGCGAAUUUAGAUUUUUUAUUCGGAGUGAAUAUAUAAAAAAUAAAAAAAAAACUAUAAAAAGAUGUAAAAAAUACAAUUAAAUACUUUGAAAACUAUCAAUUAAUACUAUCUAAUACAUAUUUCUAUAUAUAAAUAAUUAAACAAUAUUUCAUUCAAUUGAUCAUCCACACGUCUGAUAAAUUUUAUUACCAAAAUUAGUUACAAUAGAGUUCUAAAAGUAAAUUAACCUUUUAAUACACAGCAUGCUUUAAAUUUUAUCAGAAAAAGAGUUCAAUAAUUAAAUUUAUAAAGGGAGGAAGAGAGGGGUCAAUGGACUCCAUUUCUUGCAGUGCGGCCGCCACUGAUCUGUUAUAUGAGUUGCUUAGGUAGCACCUCGUGAGUGGCAAUUCUUUUAUUGCAGGGCAUGAGCCUAAAUAUGUUGGUCAAUACAGAAUAACUGACUCUGAGGCACUAGCUGCAUCAAUGGAGGCAGCUGGGAAGAUUCAAAUGAUGAUAGAGGCAAAACUCUCUCCUGGGCCUUCCAUAUGUAAUAUCCGUCGACAUGGUGACAGUAGUCGUUUGCAUGACGUGGGUGUCAGUGUUGCUAGUGGUAACUUUCUUGCAGCCAAGAGAAGAGGAGUUGUGGAAGGUGUUGAUUUUGGAGCAACUGGUGAAGUAAAGAAAGUAGAUGUUAUUCGCAUGCGUGAAAGGCUUGAUGGAGGUUGUAUAGUUAUAUUGAGCAACCUGGGAUAUUCCAGCUCUGGAGAAGUUUUAAAUUGCAACAUGUAUGAAGUUGCUACAGCAUGUGCCCUGGCUAUUGGGGCAGAUAAGCUUAUUUGCAUCAUAGAUGGUCCGAUUCUUGAUGAUAGUGGGCACCUUAUUCGCUUCUUGGCUAUUGAAGAAGCAGACAUGUUGAUUCGUGAGCGAGCUAAGCAAAAUGAAAUAGCUGCUCACUAUGUGAAAGCUGUUGGCAAAGAAGAUUUCACUUCUUUUGAACACAAUGAUUCUGUUAAAGUUAUGUCUUCAUCACAUAAUGGUAAGCCUCUUAAUGGAAGGCAUAGUCUAACCUUCCAGAAUGGUGUUGGCUUUGACCAUGGGAAUGGGUUAUGGUUUGGGGAACAAGGCUUUGCCAUUGGAGGUCAUGAACGGCAAAGUCGAUCAAAUGGGUACCUUUCAGAAUUGGCUGCAGCAGCUUUUGUUUGUAAAGGAGGUGUUCAAAGAGUACAUCUUUUAGAUGGGACAAUUGGUGGGGUUCUAUUGUUGGAACUUUUUAAAAGAGAUGGGAUGGGGACAAUGGUGGCUAGUGAUGUUUAUGAAGGAACCCGGAUGGCAAUGGUGACAGAUCUCUCAGGAAUAAAACGAAUCGUACAACCUUUAGAAGAUUCUGGUGUAUUGGUGCAACGGACUGAUGAAGAGGUUUGCUGUUGCCAGACCGCUACUGUUCUUAAUCUGAUAAAAUUAUAAUUUUGCAAUGAUAAGAAAAUGAUAUUCUUAUCAUUGCAAGGCAGAGAUAGGAAAAGAUAGCUGACACUGCUGGGCAGUUAUGUUUUGUUUGAACUGGAAUUAAUUGGUUUUCUCUUGUUUGUGUUUAUAGCUGCUUAAAACUUUGGAUUCAUUUGUUGUUGUGGAAAGAGAAGGUCAAAUCAUUGCUUGUGCUGCCCUUUUCCCUUUCUUUGAGGAGAAAUGUGGAGAAGUUGCGGCUAUUGCAGUGUCUCCUGAGUGCCGUGGACAAGGACAGGGAGACAAAUUGCUUGAUUUCAUUGAGAAGAAAGCCUCCUCCCUAAAUUUGGAAAUGCUCUUUCUGCUUACAACCCGUGCAGCAGACUGGUACAUUUUCUUUGUUACAUACCUUAAAAUACAUGUGCUUAAUAAUCACUUUAACUCCUAGUGCGUUAGAAAUAAUAUAUCAAAAGAAUUUGAGAGUAGUGAUUUUUCUUCUGGCCAUUACUGUGCUGGAAUUCACUCUAUCCUUUCAUCUCAUAUGCAUUUUUAAAAUUUACUUUAUUUCAUGACUGAGAUGUCUUUAGUAACUUGAUGGCAUAAUGCAGGGGAAUGACAUAUGUCCUCUGGUAGGUUGUCACUUCGAAUCAUUUUUAGUUUCUUCCCUUUGGUUUUCAAAGAUAAGGUUAUUUCCAGUAUGAUAAUUCUGUUUUUAAGACUAUAAUAAACAUAACUUAGAGGUACUGUUUUGUUGUAAGAGUAUAAUUCUGGUAUUUGGUUAUGGGAUGAAUUCAUUCUGCUGACCCUACAUUUAUGGCUAAAACUUACUCAAUUGUGGAGGUAAGUAUAACUGUCAUUUGCUUUUAGCUGUUGGAUUGUCACUUUUGAACCAGGCCCUUUGAACCAAGGUUGAUUCUAGAUCUUUGCAGUUUUGAAGGAAUUGGUUAUUUCCAAUACAAUUAGUUGCGGACUUCAUAUGGUUGACUGCAAUUAUUAAUUUUGAUAAAUCAUUUUUUUAUUAUAGGAUUGCGCAUUUGAGGGAUGUAGAGAACAAAAUAAAAAUUUGCUGUGUAUAAAAAUUUGUCUGAACUUCAAAUGCAUUCCAUCUACCUAAGAUUUUAAAUGAGGGCCAAUUAAAUAUAUGCAUUUUGUUUUACAGGUUCAAGAGGCGUGGCUUCUCAGAAUGUUCAAUUGAUAUGAUACCAGAGAAAAGGAGGAAGAAGAUCAAUCUAUCCCGUAAUUCCAAGUAUUAUAUGAAGAAGUUGCUGCCUAAUACAAGUGGAAUAACUGUUAAUAGGGCAUUUAGUUAAGGAUUGGCAUCCUACAAAGGUUGUGUUUACUGACGUUAGUU
rnacentral:misc_RNA from 1 species